GCUAAAACACCAACAGCGUCUGCGUCUGUAAUGCUAUCAAGGAAUACGAAGAAAUGCACGGGAAAACGUAAGACAUCAGACGAAAGGGAGGGUCGCUCAUUGCUUCUUCAGAGUUUUGUCAGCCAAAGCUGUUAACUAAAUCAACUGUUUGAUCUUCCACGAGAUAGCACCCGUCUUUCGAUAGCAUAGCUUACUUCAUCCGAUUGUUUGAGUGGGUGGUCCCGUCGAUCUCCAUUUCUUAUACAGCGUUUCCAGCGAAACGCCCGACCCAUGACGACGCUUGGAGUUGAAAUUGGCUUCGGUUGGUUCGCGGCCAACGACAAAAGCAUCAUGCUGACCCAAUUUAUUAUAGUACUAGUGGAGUUUGGAAGGCAGAUGUCACUUUCGAAUGAGGACUCACCUUGCGCCGUGCUCCUUCCAGUAUAUUAGCACUCCGCCAGACAGCCGGAAAGAGAGUACUAUAUGGCAGUGCGACUUUGUCCUGCUGAUUGUGCCUUAACGAUACUCUAUAUUCUAAAUUUAGUUUUGGAAUUUCUUAUGUAAAAGUAGACAAUAUACAUGUGAA